rnacentral:rRNA from 1 species
AAAUUGAAGAGUUUGAUCAUGGCUCAGAUUGAACGCUGGCGGCAGGCCUAACACAUGCAAGUCGAACGGUAACAGGAAGCAGCUUGCUGCUUCGCUGACGAGUGGCGGACGGGUGAGUAAUGUCUGGGAAACUGCCUGAUGGAGGGGGAUAACUACUGGAAACGGUGGCUAAUACCGCAUAACGUCGCAGGACCAAAGAGGGGGACCUUCGGGCCUCUUGCCAUCAGAUGUGCCCAGAUGGGAUUAGCUUGUUGGUGAGGUAACGGCUCACCAAGGCGACGAUCCCUAGCUGGUCUGAGAGGAUGACCAGCCACACUGGAACUGAGACACGGUCCAGACUCCUACGGGAGGCAGCAGUGGGGAAUAUUGCACAAUGGGCGCAAGCCUGAUGCAGCCAU